UUCCACCUUGCCUUACUAAAGGCCCGCGGGUUGAGACCCCUGACCGGCGGUCCCGCCCUAGGGUGACUGUACCUACCCGGCUACAGCCACCUUCUCACCCAUGCAAAGGCAGCUACUUGGCAUGGGUAGUCGGUUCAGCCCGUCCCAUUCCAGGUCUAUGGUCAGUACGAUUUGCGCCGCUUUUGAAGUAAGCGCCAGUUGGUUGUGUCCUAAUGUGAUACCCUAUGUAGAGGAGCCCGCCAUCCAAGCCAACCCUACCCAGGUUGCCUUCAUCAACAUGAGCUCCCCUACCCACCAAAUAUUUAUUUAUAAUGUAACCCUGCCCGGGUCACAACUAUUUAAUACAGAUACUUCACCUGAUCUGAUCCAAUUGCCAAAUCAGUGGAUCCACCCGAUCCAAAACUCAUUUCAUUUAUGAAAAAUAUUUAUUUUUAAUUCUUAUGCAAAAAUUUUGAAAUGACCCAUAGCCCGAAAAACAUUUAUCAAGACAUGGUCAAGGAGAUGACGACUUGCCGGAUAGUGCUUCGAUCAACUCGGAACCACCAGACGUGGCUCCUACGGGUCCGAGAUCGACUCCUGGUAAUUAUUUCAGGAACAUGUUUAUAUUAUUAUUUAUCUUCCUAACUAAAAAUCUAACAUCCAGCAACACGGCCAUGUUGAGCAAGCCACAUGUAAUUAACUAAGUGGUGAUACGUCCUAGUGUUCCAUUGAGAGAUAAAAUGCAUUAAGCCAUCCAAAACAGAGUAGCAUGCACGUACGUCAUCCAGUCCAGAGAAUGAUAAAAGAAAUGAUAAGUAAAAAAGAACAGUAGCCUAGUACUGUACUACUAGUACUACGCGGGUUGAGCCCCAGCCCGAGUCUAUCAAAAAGACUACUCAUCUUCUCUGUUGUCCCACGAACAGAACCAGCCCGCUCACCUCUCUCUCUUCCCCAAGAACAAAGCACGGCCGCCGUCGCCUCGAUCUGCCCCGUCCGGGCAUCUCCGGCGACACGGCGGACACCUACAGAUUCCCCUCAUCUCCCUCUACCAUUUCCUCCUAUUUAUUUGAUCCGCCGCCGCCAAAAACGUCGCCACCACUCAAUCCUAGCCGCCUGAUCCAGGUCCGAUGGGCUUGCCACCGGCUGCAGCGGCAACAACGUCUCCAUGCCUACAUCCUCCGCUAGCGCAGCCACACGCACGAGGCGUGCAGCCAUGGGCGUCGGGCGUGUGCGGCUUCACCGGCGCUGCUCGGUCGCCAUGGCUCUGCUGCUAACGAUGUGGACUAGCCACAUCCUACUGCUACUGCUGGUAAAUAGAUCAAGGUGAAUAGAUGCUUAUGGACUGAUUCAAACCGAGGUGGAGAUAGAUAAGAAAUCAAGCAAGAAGGGCUAACACAAGAAGGUACUUGAUUAGUACCUGGUGGCGCAUGCAACCCAAAGAUCUUCACCGCAGUGAAGGACAGCAGUGUGGUAGAAGGUGAAAAGGCAAGUGGUGGGGGUACUCCAGCGUAUGUGUGUGUGAGGUAGAAUGGUCCAGUGAAAGGGAUGGCUCCUAUUUAUAGUGGGGUGAAUAGCUAUGUCGGUUUGAAGACUCAUUACAUCUGGCAUGCAUGCGUGGUUAGUCUUGCAUGCAUGCCUCCACUUGUGUCUCUUAUGGGUUGUACUACGGACAGGUGUAAUUUGCUUGGCUGGCCCUUAGUUGGCAUUUACUUUAUGUGAAAGAAAUGAGACAGGGGUCUAUAAAAUAUAUGGAGGUUUGGAGAAGAAUUUGUUUUGCAGGACUAAAUACUAUUUGUUGUAAUAAUAAAUGUAGUUGUCUCUAUUAUUUUAAUUAA